AGUCGAACGGUAACAUUUCUAGCUUGCUAGAAGAUGACGAGUGGCGGACGGGUGAGUAAUGCUUGGGAACUUGCCUUUGCGAGGGGGAUAACAGUUGGAAACGACUGCUAAUACCGCAUAAUGUCUUCGGACCAAACGGGGCUUCGGCUCCGGCGCAAAGAGAGGCCCAAGUGAGAUUAGCUAGUUGGUAAGGUAACGGCUUACCAAGGCGACGAUCUCUAGCUGUUCUGAGAGGAAGAUCAGCCACACUGGGACUGAGACACGGCCCAGACUCCUACGGGAGGCAGCAGUGGGGAAUAUUGCACAAUGGGGGAAACCCUGAUGCAGCCAUGCCGCGUGUGUGAAGAAGGCCUUCGGGUUGUAAAGCACUUUCAGUUGUGAGGAAAAGUUAGUAGUUAAUACCUGCUAGCCGUGACGUUAACAACAGAAGAAGCACCGGCUAACUCCGUGCCAGCAGCCGCGGUAAUACGGAGGGUGCGAGCGUUAAUCGGAAUUACUGGGCGUAAAGCGCACGCAGGCGGUUUGUUAAGCUAGAUGUGAAAGCCCCGGGCUCAACCUGGGAUGGUCAUUUAGAACUGGCAGACUAGAGUCUUGGAGAGGGGA
rnacentral:rRNA from 1 species